rnacentral:rRNA from 1 species
ACGUGAUCUGAGUUCAGACCGGAGUAAUCCAGGUCAGUUUCUAUCUAUAAAGAGCUUUUUCUAGUACGAAAGGACCAAAAAAGCAUGGCCUAUGUGAAACACACGCCAUUAAUGGUAAUUUAUGAUUUAGACUUAAUUUAAUCUCAUUCUAUAUUUUGUCUCUAAAAUAGAGAA